GAUCAUGGCUCAGAUUGAACGCUGGCGGCAUGCUUUACACAUGCAAGUCGAACGGCAGCACAGGGAGCUUGCUCCCGGGUGGCGAGUGGCGCACGGGUGAGUAAUACAUCGGAACGUGUCCUAUUGGUGGGGGAUAACUGCUCGAAAGGGUGGCUAAUACCGCAUGAGACCUGAGGGUGAAAGGCGGGGGAUCGCAAGACCUCGCGCAAUUGGAGCGGCCGAUGCCCGAUUAG
rnacentral:rRNA from 1 species